UACGUAGGGGGCGAGCGUUGUCCGGAAUUAUUGGGCGUAAAGAGCGUGUAGGCGGUUCGGUAAGUCUGCCGUGAAAACCUGGGGCUCAACCCCAGGCGUGCGGUGGAUACUGCCGGGCUAGAGGGUGGUAGAGGCGAGUGGAAUUCCCGGUGUAGCGGUGAAAUGCGCAGAUAUCAGGAGGAACACCAAUGGCGAAGGCAGCUCGCUGGGACGUUACUGACGCUGAGACGCGAAAGCGUGGGGAGCAAACAGG
rnacentral:rRNA from 1 species